rnacentral:lncRNA from 1 species
CCGCGCAUCGCUGUGACACACACGUACAGCAGACAGACUAGAUCCUUUGAUAUUGCAAUACGUAUAUUUGUUUACAUAGUGAGCUUUGAGUAUAUCUGUUCAUAUAAGAUUUGUAUCAGGUACGAAAGAACACUGACGUCGUUUCUGAAGCGCGGCCCCGGCAUUACCACCACUUGCACGGCUUCUGACAAGCACCGCCUUGUUCGAUCGCAUGGGAGGCCGCGCUCCGCUCCGGAGCUGCCUGUGCUAACCGCGGCAGUGUUAGUGAUCACGCGACUCAAGACACAGUGCUAUAGUACAGUGAAGAUCAGGGAUGUACGCACCCGAUUUAUCUAAUAGAGAUCGGUAGUAUGAGUUGUGGCGGGGUGAGUGCGUCAGUGCCGUGACGCCGCGACCCGCCACCCCCCAGCCAUGCCGGGGGGCAGGAGGGGGCUCGUGGCCCCUCAGAACACCUUCCUGGAGAACAUUAUCCGCAGGUCAUCAUCUCAACGUUGCGCUCGCCUCCCGUCCAGAGAAGGUCGCGCUCAAUCAAUACCAAAGGCAGAGGAUGGCUGCUUGUGGUCCGCGUGCAGCUUCUACACACCGCAAACACUAGUUACACUUCGUCACAGCCGUUUUUAGAACAACUUCUGGAUAAUGCAAAAUUCUCCUAAGCACAGCCUCUGUAAAGUCAUCCCAGUCAUACUAUUACGUAACAAGUGAUGCGUGAUUCCGCCAUUGAUUAACGACCGGGGGGUAGAGAUAUUUAAUGUGAUAUUCACUCAAUCAAGUGAAAGAAUAAGUAGACGUCAAAAUUAUAUAGAUUCAAUACAUUCCUCAAAUA